rnacentral:rRNA from 1 species
GAUGAACGCUGGCGGCGUGCCUAACACAUGCAAGUCGAGCGGACAGACGAGGAGCUUUCUCGUCUGACGUUAGGGGCGGACGGGUGAGUAAUACGAGGAUAACCUACCUAUAAGACUGGGAUAAUAACGGGAAACCGGAGCUAAUACUGGAGAAUAUAUUGAACCUCAUGGAUCAUUAGUCAAAGACGGUUUUGCUGUCACUUAGAGAUGGGCUCGCGCCGUAUUAGCUAGUUGGUAGGGUAACGGCUUACCAAGGCGGCGAUGCGUAGCCGACCUGAGAGGGUGAUCGGCCACACUGGAACGGAGACGCGGUCCAGACGCCUACGGGAGGCAGCAGUAGGGAAUAUUCCGCAAUGGGCGAAAGCCUGAUGGAGCAACGCCGCGUGGGGGAUGAAGGUCUUCGGAUCGUAAAGCUCUGUUAUUGGGGAAGAAGAAAUGUGUAAGUAUCUAUGGACGUCUUGACGGUACCUGAACAAGAAGCGACGGCUAACUACGUG